GCCGCUGACUUCAAACUGCCCCCAUUCAAACCCAACACCCCCCUCGGUCAGGAGUUUGUCGUCCCCAGAUCAGGAUAUUUCUGCAACCUCUGCUCUGUUUUCUACCUGAACGAGAGCAACGCCAAGGAGCUCCACUGCAGCAGCCGGAGACACUACGAGAGCCUGCAGAAACAUUACCAGAAGCUUCAACAGAAACCAGCAACAAGUUCUCAUGACUCCGUUUCUGAUUGAUCCCGACUUCAUCUUAUGAUUUAUAUAUGUAUUGAUUUAAUUAUUUUCUAAAAAACAUGAAAAUGAAAAUGCUGGACAAGUGAAACUUGUGCAGCUCCACAAACCACUGCAGAGAGAAGUUAUGUUGGUCAUCGUGGCUAAUUCCUGUCUUGCACCUUGUUUCAUGUAAAUAUCAGUUAUGCAUCUACAGUAAUAACUAAUAAAUGCUUUAGAAUGAA